rnacentral:lncRNA from 1 species
AAAAAAAAAAAAGUGGUUUCCUUGGAGCGCGUGAUGUGCACGCACCAAUUAACAACAAACGUAAUAGAUGUCGCUUGAAGUGUGUUGGUCUUAACUCUGCACACAUUGAUUGUAUGGUCUGAAAGAAACCAAUGGCUACUGCGAAGAUAGGACUCGGAGUCCCGACUCACCGAGUCACCUCCGCGGCAGCUCUUUCCUCCGCUGCGUUUACUCCGCCACCGCCCAAUCAGCACCGCCUCAUCUUCAUCAACGCCCGCCGCACUCUCCGUACUCGCACUUCCUCGCUCACACUCCGAGCCUCCGCUUCCCCCUCCUCCUCCUCCGUGGCCUCACAAGGUUACUCGCACCAUCCACUCUUUCUCUGCAAUUGCAAAUGAAUGUCACUCUAGUUCGAGAGAAGUGAGGGCGGUGAAUUCAAUGCUUGCAUGCUAAUUUUAUAUUUUUGGGAAUUAGUUUUCUCACCACCCAUUUAGAUAUUCUUACCCUUUCGCACUUUCAAUUUGCGGAAUGUGUAAUUUGUGUUCCGCACUUAUAAGUGUGGUGUGUAGUAAAUUUGGGUGGCGAGAAAAUGAAAAAGGUUGGCAUUUAAACUAAUUCCCUGUAUUUUUAUGGUUGUAAAUUUGUGAAGUUUUGGAGAGAAAUGAGGUUGCUACACAUUUUGUUGGUCUGUUCUCGGCCUUAAAAUUGCAAUUUGUAUAUGGAGUAUUCUUGUUGGGGCUAAAACCCAAGAUGUUACUGUUAAUUGAUAUGCUGUGUUGGAUUUGUGGCUUAACCAGCAACUUUUUGAUGUAGAAUUGAAGUGAUAGUAGAAAUUGGGCAAUAGGAAUUCGCAAUGGUGGGUAGUAGUUGAAGGAUUUAAGGGAUAUGGCUUGGUAGAAUGUAGUGGAGAUUGAUAAGUUGCACUUAAUUUUUCAUUUGAAGGUAUCUAACACUUAGAGUUGGGAAGAUGAUUAUGCAUUUUCAUGUUAGACAUUUAGGCCAGUUAACAAGGGCAACUGUGUAUCAUCAUAUGGUGAAUACUGUUUUGCUUUGAUCAAACUAGAGCUUAGCUUCUUCGCAAUGUUAAUUUAACAACAUUAUAUAAAGAUUUUAUGUUAACUCCUAUCAUAAUACUGAUGGCUUCGAAGUCGGAUAUGACACAGGAUGAGGGGUUGAAGAUCUGGUGUACUCCCCCCACCCUAUAUUGAAACUAAGUUGUUGAAGGUCUCUUUAGAUCCUCCUAGCUACGAGUUUUAGGAUUCCUUUACUCGUUAUGAGUUCAUUCUACACAGAGAACAAAACUAUUGACUUUUCAGUUCAGAGUCUGACUUCUUACUGUAUGUGAUGUAAUUCUUAAUUUCUUAUUGGUUUUACUUUUAUUUUACCAAGAUAAGCAAAGUUGACAAUUACAUCUUUUUCCUUCUCACAGCAAAAGGAGUUGAGAAUGUGGUAAUUAUAGGAUCAGGCCCUGCAGGAUACACAGCAGCAAUAUAUGCAGCCCGUGCCAAUUUGAAACCUGUAGUAUUUGAGGGGUACCAAGUGGGUGGUGUUCCCGGGGGACAGUUGAUGACUACAACUGAAGUGGAGAACUUUCCAGGAUUUCCUGAUGGGAUAAGCGGGCCUGAUUUGAUGGACAGGUAUUAAAAACAGAAGUAAAAACUUGUUAUAGCUCAUGUUACCUUGUAAUUUAUUGUACUUGUAUGGACCCUGAAGUUAACACAUAAUCUAAUUAUCUAGGAUGCGACGGCAAGCUGAACGUUGGGGAGCAGAAUUGUAUCAAGAAGAUGUUGAAGCUAUUGAUGUGAAAAAUAGCCCUUUUACUGUCCAAAGUAGUGAACGUAAGGUGAUAUGUUCAUUAACAGCAAGCUGAUUUACGAUUGCAUAGAUAUUAAUAUACCUGAACAUUAAGGCUUGUGUCUUUUCAACUUAAUUGGUUCUUUGAGUCCACUGUGAUGUGCUUCUUUUAUGGAAUUAAAUUAUUGCAAAUUAUUGUAUAUAUUUGGUAGCAGCUUUUAUUUGAAAACAAUUUGUUGAGUAUUUCACUCUUAAUGUGAGUCCUGAAAGUCCUAUAAAUUACAGACUAUCUACUGAAUUAUUACCAUUACUUUUGAUAUUGAUUUACAUGCAUUCUGAGUUCUGUCAUCAGUUUGUUGUCUAAUUGUAAUACCUUUCUAGUCAUGUUUCUUUGGAGGAAAAGUUUUUGUUAGUUACAUAAGGUUUUCUUGAUCACAUUAUAAUUCAGGUUAAGUGCCAUGCUGUCAUCUAUGCUACUGGGGCCACUGCAAAACGACUUAGGCUACCCCGAGAAGAUGAAUUUUGGAGCCGAGGAAUUAGUGCUUGUGCAAUUUGUGAUGGUGCAUCACCUCUCUUUAAGGGUCAAGUUCUUGGUGUCGUAGGUGGGGGGGAUACAGCUACGGAGGAAGCAUUAUACUUGACAAAAUAUGCUCGUCAUGUUCACCUACUUGUACGGCGAGACCAGCUAAGGGCUUCCAGAGCCAUGCAAGACAGGUGUGUCUAAUUAAUACUUCCCAGAGGCAUGCCUGUUAGUUGUUAAGGAACAGCUAACUCUGCAGUGUAUGUUAAAGUUUACAGUAAUUACCUCCUCCUAUACACUUCAUAAUGUAUUCCUUUUAGUUUCUCAACUCUCUCUCUCUCUCUCUCUCUCUCUCUCUCUCACACACACACACACACACACACACACAUGCACACAUAAUUCCGGUGGAAAGAUGGAAUUUAAACAAACUGUGUUAGAUUAGUCUUCUAAAUAUUUCGUUGAUGGCAAGGUUCUCUAUAGAUGAAGCUUUAUUUAACAUUAGGCAUAAUGUCUAUUACUUUCCAUCUUACGUUGAUUGAGGUCAUGCAUAUUGUAAAUUAUUGUAUUUUUUUCUAUUUGUAUUGGCUUCUUUGUUUAAUAAUGAAUUUUGUGUCUUCCUUUUUUUCUUUUUAUAUGCAUAGUUGAGUUGAUGGGUAAUCAGUCCUUUCUUGCUAUUUAGUGAUCUGUUAAGAAUUCUGCCUGUGCCAAUAAUUUGUGUUGGGUGUAACAAUAGUUUGUAGGCUUUUUGUUACCAAUCUGAAGUUUCUUUUGGCUGUAAUUCACUUGGAAAAUAUUUGGUAUUUUAAGGUGUCUUGUGCUUUGGAUUAUAGUAGUGAAAACUAUAUUUAUCCUAUGGACAUAACAUGUUUGAUCUUCUCGCUUAUGGGGAAGCCAUGCUCACUCUCUUUUUGCACAUGGAUUCAAAAUACUGUUUUGCAUACAAGUGUAGUAUUCUUAUGUUUGUCAUUAUGUCUGUAUUUCAUAUAGACUUCGAAAAAGCAAUUAUAUCAUGUUGUAGUACCAUUUUAGUGCAGGCAAAUGGAAGCAAAUUAUUCGGAAUGUGAAAUUUUACAUUAAUGGCCAAAUACUAGAAGCGUAUUUUAUUUGAGGUCUAAAUUAUCAUUCCAAUGUGGGCCAUGAGCUCAUGCUAUGAGCUUCUGUAUCUGGAUUCUGAUAUUUAAUUAGCAAAGAGCAAUUAUUUUUAUUUAAGUUUAUCUUAGAGGAGAAAUUGAAGAUUACCUUUUUCCUGGGCAUUUCUUUGCAUUCUCCAGACUCUAGGUAGUAGGUACUAGUUGUUUGACUCUUGAGUUUUUAUUAUGAGGAUAAACAAAUAGGAUUUUGUAUUAUAUAUCUUCUUUUGUUGUCUUCCUAAUCAGUCUGUAUUUAUGUGGAGUGUUUUAUUAGGAUAUCUUUAUGAUGGUGAGUUAUCUACUAAGUACUAAUGAACAUUUUUUAUGUGAGUUUUCAACUCCCCUGAAUGUUUGUUUAACAGGUUGAUUAUCACGAAUGUUUCAGAGUGUUUGACAAUCCCAAUGUCACCGUGCACUUCAAUACAGAGACUGUGGACAUUGUGAGCAAUACUAAAGGACAGAUGUCUGGCAUUUUAAUUCGAAAGAUUGAUACUGGGGAGGAAUCUGUGUUGGAGGCUAAAGGGCUAUUUUAUGGCAUAGGCCAUUCACCAAAUAGUGAACUGUUGAAAGGUCAAGUAAAACUUGACCAGUCUGGCUACAUACUUGUUGAGGAGGGUACUGCAAAAACUUCAGUUGUAGGUGUAUUUGCUGCUGGAGAUGUGCAGGUAACCUAUCGAGUGCCUUUCUGCAAGAUAGUCUACGAUUCUACAUUAAGAAGAAUAAUAGGGAGUAUUGGGAAUCAGAGCCUCAACCUGCUAUUAACAACAUAAUCUGUUAUUAAUAGAAAUAAAAGGAAAACUGUAGUAACUGUUUAGUUGGUUACUGUAUAUAGAGAGCUGUUAUAACUUAUAAGGCAUUUGUAGAGAGUAAUUGGAGGUUAUCCAUUGUUUUGGUUAAAAGAGGGAGAGAAGUCCAGUCUCAUACUGGGAGAGGAGAACCCACGUUCUACACUGCUAUUCACCUCUAUUCUUUUCACCUUGGUACCCAUUCAGAGAUUGUGUGCUUUAUAUAUAACGAUCCAUUACUGUAUCUGUACCUAAAUUAUGGUCCAGUUCUAUUGCGAUGCUACAUUGUCUACAAUAAUGUUAUACAACGUAUAUUAAGUUUAGGCAGUAGCUGCAAGAGUAGGAGGAUGUCAUUUGACCAACAUCUUAUAAAUAUAUAUCAUUUUUUAACAGUCACUGACAUAGCACAACGGCGUCAUUUGAUCCAUAUAACUAUUUUCUGAUGAGAUAAGGCUUUAUUAUUUGUUAAAAAAAUUUGAAAUGCCAUUUUUGGUGGCAGAAUUUUGACCAGUUCCCAUUAAAUUAAUUAUGAUAGCUGUUAAUAUGUAGAUGUAGCAUAUGUUUGAUUAUGAAUUAUGCAAAUUUAUUAUGAAGUUUAUUGUCUGAGUUUAUUUUGUGAUUUGCUAUUACCUUCUGUAUGGAAUAAAAAGUCACUGUGGUAGGCACCUUUAUAAAGUUUAUUUCUUAUACUCUCAUAGGACCAUGAGUGGAGGCAAGCCGUAACUGCUGCUGGAUCUGGAUGCAUUGCUGCUUUAUCAGUUGAGAGAUAUCUUGUUAGCAAUAAUCUUCUUAUAGAGUUCCAUCAGGUAUCAGAGUUCAAAGAGCUCCAAUUUUAUAUGCACUUAUUUUACUUCUUGUAUGUAUAACUAAAAUGAAUUGCAUAUCAUAUUGUCAGCUUACUAUGUUUUUUUAAUUCACGUUCUUAAUUAUUGCGCUUCACUCAGUAGAAGCAGAAUCGAUUUUAGCUGGAUUUGUUUGUAAAAUGUUUAUAAAUUGGACAAACAUACAAACCUUUAUAAAGAUAGUGUAUUGAAUUCUCAAAUCUACUGAGUUCCUUAAAAUUGUCAGUGGGAAAUGUUUGUAAGUAGUUCUCUAUUGGUUUUGGAGCUCAACUAAACUAUUGUCUUCGAGCAGUCUGCUGUAUUUCUCUUAUCCCAUUGACAUGCAAUGAAAUCUUAUUUAAUGACAUAGUGAUAGGUUGUGUGGGUGAUGUGCUGCAGAGGUUUACAGUGAAAGGAACAUAAAAACUUGAGUGUGCAUCAUUCAUUCUUAUAUUUUACUUUUUAAAAUCUUGCACAGACGACCUUUCUCGUUUAUAAAGCUAUUGACAAUAAUUCACAGUAAAUUAUUUUACCUAAAUAGGGAUCGUCUGAGGAAAUGUUGAUUAUUUACCUAGUGAAAUAGUGGGAAAUGGCUCUGGUUGUUUUGAUGGAUGUGGUCUGAUGAAGUCAUACACAUUUGGAUGCAAACCAAAGAGCACUUAUUGUAUUCGUACCUUAUUUAGUGCUUUUUCUAGUAGAUAAGCUCCAAUAAGCCCUUAUCCAAGCAGGCUCAUUACUAUUAGUGUUUUGAAUAUGCUUUUACUAAAAUCCUUGUUAUCUGCCGCUGUUCAGGAUCUUUCCAAGAGAAGGACAUUAAAGCAAAUAUGAAGAAAUGAUAUACCAACCUAUUAUACGUUUCUGUUUGGCCCUAUGUUUAAAGAAUAUGAAUGGCAUAAAUUUGUUGCUAGUAAACAAUAACAUACUAAUAAUAGGGAACUGUCAUUACAUUAAAUCAGUUGAUUAAUUCCCUAUUCAUGACAUGUCGUUAUAGUGUUGUUUGGUCUACGUAGCUGAUUGCGCCUAGUUGAAAGAGGAUUUCAAUGUUGUAGUUGAUUCACGCAGUAUAUUCCGAUACAAAUCUCAACCUUCCAAUUUUAUUUCCUGUUUCAGCCUAAAACUGAUGAGGUUAAGAAGGAACUAACAGACAGGGAUGUUCACGAGGGCUUUGACAUUUCACUUACAAAGCAUAAGGGACAGGUACGUCUUCCUUAUAGGUGCUUGUGCUAAUGGGAUUAAUUCUCAGCAUCUGUUAUGUUCAUAUAGUCUCUUUUUUAUUUAAUUCUUUGGUUUUAUUAUAAUAUAGGCUCUUAUUUGUGAUUUCCUCUUUACAGUAUGCUCUACGAAAAUUGUACCAUGAAAGUCCCAGGCUUAUAUGUGUAUUAUAUACGUCACCCACAUGUGGACCGUGUAGAACACUGAAGCCAAUUCUUAGUAAGGUAUGUGAAAAAGGGAGGUUUAAAGUUAUCUUAGUACUUGUUGAAUGAGAAAAAGACAAGAGGCACUAGUUGAAUCAGUGUGUUUCAACUACUCAGCAGGGUCAACUACUCAUGACAUUAUACGUAAGCACUUAGUAGGCAUGAAUAUACAAUGGUCUUGUGAUACUGAUAUGGUGGCAUGGUGCAGAACCUUUUUUUUUCAGUAAAUUAAAAAUGAAUAGCUACGCUGCAUCAUGCAUUGAGAUGUAUGGGACUAUGGGUCCAUCUACUGCUUGUUUUCUCGCUUUGGAAUGUAGUGGAAUAGAUCUACUUAGAUGUUAGGGUGUUCUCAAAAUCUCAAUAACAAUGUGUUAUGGACUAGAGCCGGCCCAGUCCGCAUUGGCCCACCUUGCCCGGCCAAACUGAGUAGAGUUUAGGGCCAGACUGCGUUUUGGGCCAGGAAUUUGGUCCGCAACACAAUACAUAACUCUUUGUACUUGACUGAAAUGAGUGCAUAUUACCAUGUAUUUGCAAUUUUACGUACAAGCAUGCUGUCAUGCCGUUUUGAAAUGAGUAAGCAUUGAUGUUGAACUGCUGCAUGGCAUAUGAAGUAAAUGAAACUACUUUCGCUUCCAUAUUUAUCAUUACUUUUUUUAACAUCUACCUUGGCAGGUGAUUGAUGAAUUUGAUCAGAAUGUACAUUUUGUCGAAAUUGAUAUAGAGGAAGAUCAAGAAGUAGCGGCAGCAGCUGGAAUCAUGGGCACUCCAUGUGUGCAGUUUUUUAAAAACAAGGAGAUGCUUAAGUGAGUCAUAUUUGAUCUAUUUCUCUAAUUCUCCUAUUUUUCAUGUACCAAAAUAUAAGAUUCAAGCAUAAGAUUGUUAUCAUAGUAUCCCUAAAAUAUGAACAUGAGCUGAAAAUGGAUAUCCUAAAGCUGCUCACUUCCAUCUUUAUGCUUAGUGACAGGCCUGCUUCAUGGAUAUUCUUGCUGGUUUUUGACCGCUGAUGAUUGUACACUGAUUUUGCAGGACUGUUUCAGGAGUCAAAAUGAAGAGAGAAUACAGAGAAUUCAUUGAAUCGAAUAAAUAAAAAAGUACAUAAAAACAUUGGAGGGUGAAACCCCAAUUCUGUGAUUCAAUUUUGUUUUCUUAUUGGCCAGCUGAAUAGCGCUGUCAAUUUUGACAACUAUUCUUUUAACUGAUUGCAACUUCAUAGAUUGUACAUGUAGAGAUACCAAUCACUGCUAUAAUUUUGAUUGUUCUACAUUAUAUUUUUCCUAUUUAAAUUACAGAAUCCCAACUAAGAACAUCUCAUUUACGACACCCAUCUUUUGUCAGCAUCCAAGCUGAAAUGACUGUCCAUAUUUAUUAUUUCUUGACAUUUUAAUUGAUAAGUCAUGGCAAAUUUAAUGUAACCUAUUGUCCACGUUUAUAUUAUACAUGUGUCAGCGAAAACUGCUUAACCCUUGUUUAAACAUUCUCUUCUUUCAAAACAUUGUUUUCUAUUAAAGAGAGAUGAUGCAACCGUGUAAUGGAGCAUGUUUGAGUUCAAAAGUUAAUAGAAGAGGAGGUAUUUCGGAUGAUCUAAUUUGAAGUCUAGUGAUCAACUUAGUUGAUCUGUGAUGGCUGAAUCAAUUGUUGCAUAAUCAAGUGACCAAUUUGGCCUUUACAGGAAGGGGAGAGAAUGUGAUUUUUGGUGAUUUGGGCUAUGUUUGGCAUGUCAUUUUAGCUUAUAGCUUAUUUGACUAGCUUAAAAGCUCUUUAAAAGUGUUUGGUAAAAGAGCUUAAUUCAGUAGCUUAAAACUUUUUUGAUAAGUUACCUCAGGUAGCUUAUAGCUUAAAGCUUAUUGAAUUUAGGCUAAAAAGCAUUUUUGGCCCCUGAUGUUUCAAGUUUGUGCAAAUUCUGCCCCUAUCUAUUUUUGUCGAUGUUUCUACCCCUCAUGUUUUCAAACAGUGCACCGUCUACCCCUCACGGAGGGGUAGACGGUGCACUGUUGAGGGGUAGACGGUGCACUGUUUGAAAACAUGAGGGGUAGACGAUGCACUGUUUGAAAACAUGAGGGGUAGAAACAUCGACAAAAAUAGAGUAAGGGCAGAAUUUGCACAAACUUGAAACAUCAGGGGCCAAAAAUGCUUUUUAGCCUUGAAUUUAUUCUAUUUUUUAUCCUUAUCAUUUUAAUAAAAUUCUAUAUAAGUAAUAUUAUAUUUUUUAGAUGAUAAAUAAAUUGAAUUAAAUUAAAAUAUUUAAAGUGGUAAUUAUUUUAAUAUCAUAUAUGUAUUGAUGUGUAAAUAAAAUAAUGUUAAAUGUAUAAAGAAUUAGAGAUUAAUUUCUAUACACCGACGGUGUAAAGUUUUUUUACACCGUCAACCAAUUAAAUUUUAAGAAUGUGAGAAAAUAUGUUUUUUUUUACUUGAUUUCAUUAAUUGACGUGACAAUCCUUACAAUAUGAUUGGUUGACGGUGUAAAAAACUUUACACUGUCAAUGCAUCAUUCUUUUUCUCAAAGAGAUUAUAAAGUAUGUCAUUUUUAUGUCAUUUUAUAAUUUGAGCUUGUUUAACAACUAGUUUUACUAAACACUUUUUUUCAAUGAGGUAGUUUUUCAGCUUUUUGUUUUCAGUUUUCAGCUAGCUUAUCAGCUUUUAGCUGACUUUUCAACUUUCAGCUAACUUAUCAGUUAGGCAUGCCAAACAUAACAUUUUCAUUUUUAUUAUAAUUGAUUAUAUUGCAAUUUUUUAUUUUUUUUAUUAGUAAAUAUUAUGUUAGUUGUUAAAUGCUAGUAAAUUAGUUCAUUCAGCAGAGUUUGAACCCUUACUCUUAAUCCGUCAAUACUCUUCAUUUCCCUAAGCUACCCAUCCCAUAUUCCCAUGUAUAAAAGGGAUGGCAAUAUACUAUUUUCUGUACUAAGAUCAGGUGAGAGAGUGUUUAAUAUUUUUUGAUAGGCAAUUAAAAUUAUAUUGAAAAGAAGUACAAAGGAUACUUCAAUCCAAUACAAGCAAAGAAAGAGAAAAAAUAAAACUGUUUACACUAACAUCUGCAGAAGCAAGCAAUACUUCUGCAACAAUUAUCCCAUCCCCUCCUUGAAGGAAGACUCUAAAGAAAAGACCUCAUUAAAACCUUACUAUGAAAAACCGUUUUGGGGAAAACCUAGUAAGAGAGUGUUUAAUGAAACAUCCUUCAAAACUUCUCGUGAAAUUUUAUAGAUAUGAUUCGAAAAUGAACUUACUGACCAAUUACUAACUAAAGUUACAAAUAAAGCCUUAGUUUAUGCUAAGCACUAAAUAACUAAAUCUUGAGCAUUGAGCACAAGCCUUAACUAAAAUGUUAAGAACAAGCAUUGAUCAAAAUGUUAGGCACAAGCCAUAAUAAUAAUCCAAUCACAAUGAUAGAAGCUAGCUAAAUCUGAUAUUGUUUCAAUGACACCCUAAUUUCAAAAUGAAUACAAAUAUGUUUUACAGUCUUUUCUUUUUUUAUUUUCCAAGGUAUCCUCACAGCAGUCUGUCAUGAGACUAACCUCCUAAGUCUUUGAGAUCAUGUUAAGUGAGUAGGCAUCUCCAACAAAUGUGUCUACAUACGCCCAUGAAUCAAAUCCUGAACUAGAUAUUUAAGGAGUCCAAUUAACUAUCUACUAAUUAUGCUACAUAUUGUUGGAACCUCACGGUCAUUCUAACUCACUUAUUUAUACUCCCUCUCUAGUUAUCUCCUACGACUAACUAUCUAUUAACCUCUAAUUAACCACUAACCGUGACUACCUAUCACAAGGCUGCACAAGCCUUGAUCAAAAUCAAGCAAUAGCCUGUAUUAAAAUAAAUAAAUCGGUGAGAUUACAUGGGGAAAGCAAACAAUAGCACGGAGCUUGGCGAAUUUCCAAGAUAAUCAAUACUUACACUUAAAUAUGUUUUGUUUUAAGAAAUAUUCAAAGGUGAACAUAAUUUUAAAAAAUAAAAUAUGUUUGACACGUCUAAUUUAAAAGCUAGAUCUUAACUCUUUGGUCAGCCCCUACCGCUUAGUGCGCUGACCGUGGGACGAGGAAUUAGUCUCACAGCUAUCGUCUAUGAGGAUACCUUGGUCAAGAAAAAAAACUAGAUUAAAGCUGAAAAAUUAAAUGAUUAAAAAUAAAUGUUUGGUAAAAUUAGUUGUUCACUAAAAUGAUUGGUGAACAUAAAAACAAGGCAAUGCAAACUACUACCGGUAACAAUAAAAAACUGGCACAAAAAAUGAGGUGUCCAACAGUGGUUUACAUGGUCUUGGAGUGUUAGUGUAUCAUUGUCGAGCCGUUAAAACAGUUAAAAUUGUAAAAUAACAUACAAAUGACAAACUAAUUUAUUUUAUAUUAAACAUUACUUUAUUUACAUUUUUUAUAUGAUAUUAAUAUUAAACUACAAAUGUCUGCAUCCGAUCCACUUAAUUUGCGAGCUAAUGAAUUCAAAAAUGAGCACAUAUUUUCCUUCUUAUAAUGUUGGGAUUCUCUUUUUAUAAUAAUUUUAGUAUCAAUUACGUCUUAAUUUAUACACAUAUAUAUACCGACACAUUCCUUCAGUAAGCCAACACUAUAUUCCUUGAUUUAUGGGAUGCCAAUAUACUACAGCCAGCAAUGAACUCACCCAUAAUAUGUACGUGCACUUAAUUCAGUCUUCAUGUAUAUAUGAACAUAAAUCUUACUCAAUACUGAUUCUUCUAAGGGUCAAAUCAGUUAGUGAUAAAUUAAAAAACUACAAUGAGUAUCUGCUUAUUGUCUUGAUUUAAUUCUGAUUGAAACAUUUUAAGAACAUCACAUACAGAAUCAGUGAUAUCCAUUAGGUGCAUGGCGGUGUGUUCCAUUUUUACACUAUUAAUGAAAAAAGGCAGGUGAAUUUAGCAUUUUAUAUAUAUAAAGAAACAACAAUUAAUAAAAUCUCUCAAUCACCUCGAGUCACAUCUUUCUCUUCCUCAUUUUAUUUUAUUCUCUCAUAUCAAUUUUUUACUAUAAAAGAUUGAAAUUAAAUUUACCCUAUAUACACUCUCAUAUGCGCCAUCCUUUGUGCAUCUCUUUUCUCCCUCUGAUCUUCUCCCUAGACUUUUGCUCUCUCUUUGUUGUGUUUAUAUAACAAUGGCUGACUACUGGGGGUAUCUCUUUGCUACAACAAAAAAUCCACCACCUCCCAUCAUCACCAACACCACACCACCUUCCUUGGCCAGUUUCACUUUCAAUGAAGAAGAAUAUAAUGAGGCAUUUUCUGAUGAGUAUCCUGAUUUGCUAAACCAGAUGCCCGCACCCUAUUGUUCCACCACCUACACCACUGCUAGUACUACCACUACUAGUAGUAAUGGUAUCAUUCUCAAUAGCAAUUCCACUGAUUUUGCAGGACAAAGCCACCAGCUUCUUGCUCCCCCUUCCAAGAAACGGAGACAACAUGUGCAGAAUCAACAAAAACAGUUUUUUCAAGUUCAAACAGGCGGCAAAGCAUCAGCAAAAAUAAGGUAAGAACUCGAAACUUUUCCUUUCAAAAUGGAUCUCAUUCGUUCAAAUUUCAUUGGUACUUUGAAACUUAAUCGAUUAGAACACAUUUGUGACUACAUUAAAUCAAAAUCCUUACAUUUCGUUUUACCUGUUGUGUAGAAAAAGCCUAGAGAAGAAAAUGGUGUUCUAUGUGACCAAAGAUCAACUCUCGUCUUCAGAUUCGUGGGCAUGGCGUAAAUAUGGACAAAAAUCCAUCAAGGGUACUCCAUAUCCAAGGUAACCUCUCAAUCAUGUUUAUAUCUUUUGAUUUGUUUUAUGAUUGGGAAAUACAUUUAUAUUUAUCAUAUAUAUACCAAUCCCUGCAUACAGGAACUAUUUCAGGUGUGUUGGAUAAAAGACAGUUCAGGUUUAUAUAGCGUAAGGUCUGCUUAUGAUUCACUACAAAUUGUUUCUCAACCUGUGGAGGGAAACGUCUUCAGUAAAUUAUGGAAAGCUAAGGCUCCUUCUAACUCCAUUGCUUUGGCCUGGACAAUUCUUCUUGUUAGAGUUCAAACAAAGGUAGACUUGGUACACAGAAAUGCUUUACCUGCUAAUUCAGGUGUGGAGUGUGGACUAUGUUUGAAUGAGGAGGAAACUUGCAGUCAUCUGUUUUUUGGGUGCCAAUUAAGCUGGAGGGUAUGGUCGAGAAUUUGUAGCUGGGUAAGUGUGUCUACUGUUUUGCAGCAAGAGCCUAUUGCCAACUUCUCACAUUUCUGUGUGCUCCAGGGAUCAGGUUCAUCCUUUUCUAAAGCUAUGGCUGUGAUCUGGAUUGCUACUGUGGGUGCAAUUUGGUACUAUAGAAAUGGAGUUGUUUUCAGGGGAGAAGCGGUGGAUGUUGACAGAGUUGUUGAAUUGAUACAAUUCAAGUCCUGGCUAUGGUUGAAGGUGAAAGGAAAAUGUACUUCUAUGUCUCAUUAUGAUUUUUACACACCCUGUACAUUGUAUGAAUUUGCUGAACUGAGCGUGGAGGGGAAAUGAGGUGCUGGUGGUCUGUUUUAGUUGGCUGUGUGUUUUAUUUGUGAUAAUACUAAUUUAGUAACAGUGUAGGUUGAUUUUUGGUGUGUCUAAUUUGAUUGUGAAAUAUAUUACAUCAUCUACAUGGUUGAUUUUGCUUACUGCUGCUUUUCCAAAUGGCAAUGGGAGUCUCGUGGCUGCAGAUCCUUUUAGUGAUAUUUGUAUCUUAUGUAAUAACAUGUGGAUAUGGGUACCCUGCUGCAGGGUGGCUAUGAGGACCAAUCUGAUAUGAUAAUGAGGAAUGUUGGUGGGAUACUUAUGAUUCUGGAAUUUUCUCUGCUGGAAGCUUGGAUGCUGUGGGGGGGGGCACUUCAUGACAGUGUUUAAAAGGAAUGUGGUUAAAAAAUGUUUUGUUCUGGAGGUUCUGUGUGGAGUGCUGAUGAGAAGUGGGGAGUGUUUUAAUUUAUUUUACUAGCUCAUUUAUUGGUUGCUGCCAGGAUUUUGGAUUGGCUAGAAGAAAAGACUUGAUGGCUAUGCUUUCUUUGAAGGAUGCAUAAAUGGGUUCAAAUUGGUGGUUUUAUUAUUUGUGGAUAGAUUGGUUUUGCUUGCUUGUGAAGGCAUGAGGAGUGAAGGGAAUUAUUUAGUCUGCAUUCUGGUUCAGAUCUUUUAUGGAGAAGCUAUUUCUUUGAUUGGAAAUAUUGAUCAAACAAUUAUCUGGGAUUCAUUCGUUCGUGAAUUAUCUUUUGUAUGGUUGGGCAGCUGAGUUUGGGGUGAGGUAUUAGAUUUCCUUGUAAACUUCCUUGAAAAUUUCCUCUUCACUUUUCAAAAUUGGUACUCUUUUUCCUUGCUAGGCUUUCCCAAGGGGGUUUUAUCCUAGUAAGGUUUUAAUGAGGCUUGUUUUGUUAAGUCUAUUUUCAAGGAGGUAUUAGGUGGGGUAGUUUCGACACUUUUAGGGUCUUUUGUACAUGUAAGUUUUAGCUUGUCUCUUCUUCUCUCCUUCUUUCUCUUUGUAUUGGGUUGAAGUACCCCUCGUACUUCUAUUCAAUAUAUUUCUUAUUGCCUAUAAAAAAAAAACAGCUCUAGUUGCGUGAAAGCGCGUUGAACGUAGCAAUGAGGAUAUGUUCAUGAUCACAUACACAGGAGAACACUCACAUUUCUAAACACUAACAUUUGAAAAGAAAUGAAGAAAUUACUCACCCCGUUAAAGUUUGUGAGAAUAACACUUAACUUCAUUCUUAUUUAAAAUACGUACCCCAAUAAUAAUCUCAGAAUUAUAUACACUUAGUUCAAUUCUUCUCUAAAAUCUCUGCUCCACCCCACCCCUUAAACACCUUCCAAAAAAUGCUAACAAAACAUUCCUUUAACUAAAAUAAAUUUAUUUAAAUAAAAAUAAUAAAUAGAAAAAUUUGUCUUCUAACAAAAUAAUAAAUAUAUUAUCAUAUAUAAAUAUUCUAAAUAUUUAUAAAUUAUCGAGAUCUUGGUGCGCUUCCUACUUACUCCCCUGUCAUAGUUGCAAUCUUGCAGCUCAUUCGCAUGGACUGGGGUCUCUCUGCUUCUAGUCCCUCGCAGUUGCAAUUUAGUGGCGGAAAAGCUAGCUCAUGGCUCUCAGUGCUCUUUCGCCUGCUUCGAUACUCGUCCUCCAGCAGUGCUAUCUUUUUUAGCCUCUGACAGAGGAAUUAGCUAGUUUUGAUGUUUUCCCUUUUUGUGGUUUUCUUAUAUUUCCUUAGCACCAAAAAAUAAAUUAUCUUAAAUUUAACUACGUAAAUUUAUUUAUAUUUAUUAUGGUAAAUAUACUUAUAAGGUAUAUUAACAUUUCUAUGAUAUUUUUAAAAGUAUAAGUGAAUAAAAAUAUUUUCAAAUUAAAUAUCCCUGUAGGUGCUAUGUUGGGCGGACUUUUCUUUGGGAUGUCGUUAUUCUGCUAUCUUUUUGGGUGGUUUUUUUCUCUUCCAAAAGGGCUUUUUUUUGGUAUAAACAUAUCGCAUCGGUCACUCUUUGUAUGUCGCUAGAUUUGGGACAUAGUCACAGUUAAGGCUCCUCAUCCCUCCCUAGAAUGUAUUGUGUGGGGAUCAAACCCGAGUGUACAUCCCACACACUCGGCAUGCGUUGCCAACUAAGCUACCCUUCUUAGAUCNNNNNNNNNNNNNNNNNNNNNNNNNNNNNNNNNNNNNNNNNNNNNNNNNNNNNNNNNNNNNNNNNNNNNNNNNNNNNNNNNNNNNNNNNNNNNNNNNNNNNNNNNNNNNNNNNNNNNNNNNNNNNNNNNNNNNNNNNNNNNNNNNNNNNNNNNNNNNNNNNNNNNNNNNNNNNNNNNNNNNNNNNNNNNNNNNNNNNNNNNNNNNNNNNNNNNNNNNNNNNNNNNNNNNNNNNNNNNNNNNNNNNNNNNNNNNNNNNNNNNNNNNNNNNNNNNNNNNNNNNNNNNNNNNNNNNNNNNNNNNNNNNNNNNNNNNNNNNNNNNNNNNNNNNNNNNNNNNNNNNNNNNNNNNNNNNNNNNNNNNNNNNNNNNNNNNNNNNNNNNNNNNNNNNNNNNNNNNNNNNNNNNNNNNNNNNNNNNNNNNNNNNNNNNNNNNNNNNNNNNNNNNNNNNNNNNNNNNNNNNNNNNNNNNNNNNNNNNNNNNNNNNNNNNNNNNNNNNNNNNNNNNNNNNNNNNNNNNNNNNNNNNNNNNNNNNNNNNNNNNNNNNNNNNNNNNNNNNNNNNNNNNNNNNNNNNNNNNNNNNNNNNNNNNNNNNNNNNNNNNNNNNNNNNNNNNNNNNNNNNNNNNNNNNNNNNNNNNNNNNNNNNNNNNNNNNNNNNNNNNNNNNNNNNNNNNNNNNNNNNNNNNNNNNNNNNNNNNNNNNNNNNNNNNNNNNNNNNNNNNNNNNNNNNNNNNNNNNNNNNNNNNNNNNNNNNNNNNNNNNNNNNNNNNNNNNNNNNNNNNNNNNNNNNNNNNNNNNNNNNNNNNNNNNNNNNNNNNNNNNNNNNNNNNNNNNNNNNNNNNNNNNNNNNNNNNNNNNNNNNNNNNNNNNNNNNNNNNNNNNNNNNNNNNNNNNNNNNNNNNNNNNNNNNNNNNNNNNNNNNNNNNNNNNNNNNNNNNNNNNNNNNNNNNNNNNNNNNNNNNNNNNNNNNNNNNNNNNNNNNNNNNNNNNNNNNNNNNNNNGAUCUAAUGUGUAUGGAGACUGAUAAGUAGGUGGAGCAGCAUUUCCAUAAUCGUACAUCCUGUAGCUAUUCUGACCUGCAUAAGAACCACUAGAUCGGUAACCGAGGGGACCCAAAUUGUCAACAGGGAGUGAGUAGUGCUGUUGUGAUAUUCCAGCUGGGCUUUGUGUGUGGGAGGUUCCAUAGGUUGCUGCCGCGUAAGGAUUAGCACUGGAACCAUCCAAUAUAGUCUGGCUGGGGUAGCUGAAUGGUCCAGAAAAUCUUGCACUUGGACUAGGCUGUAGAGAGGGUGGUGCCAGGUUCCUGCGACUAAAAGAUGGUCGGUAUGCAUUGGGUUUUGCUGAUUUGGCUGGACGGGAAGAGCUGGAACUGUUACCACGACCGCCACCUGAUCCGUAGGCUCGCUUUUUCGGAGGCCUAAUUACAGUUGAUGAACUCCUCUUCCUUUCAGCCUUAGUUCUCCCCAAAUGGGUAACCCGCUUCCUCAGUUUAUCAAGGCUGAAUUCGGAUUCAAGUUUGUGAUCUUCUACACAUCUGAUUAUAGCCCUUAUGGAAUUCAUCUCAAGAGUACUUGAUUCAUCCUGAAAAACAACAUAGAGAUGUCAGAAAGUGGUCCAUUGCAGUAUAUGGAACUGAAUUAGAAAGGUAGUUAUCCAGACCGUUGCAGCCUGACUGUUGUUUCCCUUCGCUAAUAUGGUAGCAACAUUCUUUUUGUAGUUUCGAACGUAAGACUUGAGCAGGUCGAUAGGAGGAAACUUCUCAGUCAAACCAGAUUCUGAAGCAAAAUAAACAGCUUCUAUCUCUUGGCCAUUUUUAACUAGUUCUUCUAUAAUUUCUGCACAGAACACUAGCUUAUAUCAGUAUUUGCAUUGGCCAGAAAAUGAAUCACAUAUCUAACAAAAUUCUGCCUCCUAUUGCAUCGAAAAGUGUAGAAGUAUUAUAAAAUGUGUCAAAUAAAAAGGAAUCACGGUAAAAACUGUGUGAUCACAAGCUGAAAUUUCUCUUACAAAUUGAUUUGAAGCAAUUUAUCCUUCCUACUUCAACUUUAUUAUCAAGAAAAUUUAAAUCCUAAGCACUAGCACAUCUACAAGAAUAAAUGUAAUGGGAAAGGGGAAUUUAUGCAAAUAUAAGACAUCAAGACAUUUAAUUAGGGGUGCAUAAAGGUAAUAAGAGACUUGUAGGAUGCUGUGGCCUGUUGACAUGUACCUAGUAGCAGUAAUGGUCAAUGCUUUUAAGUCGAUAAAAGCUAUAUCCAAAGAAAAGAAACAAACAACUUCUUUAAGAAAACAGUUUAAAUUUAGUAAAAAAAUCCCAUAGUCUUGCACUAAAUUUGAUCACCAGAACAAUCCCUUAGGUUUAUCAAAAUUACUUCCCUAUUUAAAUUGAAUAAUAUAUUAAAGGGAAUACAAACGUAAGGAGGAAUAAAAAAAGGGUAAAAUGCAAGGAAUCUCCUUCAACACCAUGUGCUGAAAACCCCACUAUGCUUCUACACUACUCAAUAUGUCUCAUUGAGCUAUCAGAAACAUGUGCGAAACAGCUUCUGUUAACUCUCCAUCCAAGCGUCUCAUACACUAAAGAGAAGGAAACUCAUGCAAGGGUACGUGAUUUGUGAACCCUAAAUGGCUAAACAAUAAUUUUUUCUCAGUCUAUAUCCACUAUGUCCCCCACCACCACUAUUUCCCUCACAAUUUUUUGCAGUACUUCAUUCCUACUUAGACUUCCCUUUUUCUUCACCCAUUCCCACCAUUACUCCGCAUAAAAUUUCAUGCCUUUUCAUUUCCAACCCUUUUUUGCUUCCAUCUUUAACACCACCUGCAGGCCAUGGACGGAGCCAACCUCCAACUUCUAUUGCCAGCACCACAAAAAGAAAGUCGUGCUCACAACACAAUUAAUGCCAUCAUAACUGGACACUACCAACUCAAACAAAAUGGAAGUUUACAGAGGAAGAGUUGCAGAAGGGUGUCCCCUCAGCUGAAAGAGGCAGAUUGGGACCUUCAGAAUGUGGUUUCAGUCAACUCUGAUAACAAGGGUGUUUUGUUAGUGACAUUGGUGGAGUGGUGGUGUGAAGGCUGUGAUUUUUGAAGGAGUUCAUUGCCAACUAAAUCAAGCUAGUCCUUCAGCUCAAAUUUUCCUAAGUUUUAGUUCCCUUUCUCUCUGUUUUACUGAUUUGGAUCAGUGACCUGGAAUAAAACAGUCUGAUAUGUGAAGACACAUUUAGAAGAGAGAAUUUGUUUGGCUUUGCAACCAUAACACUUGGGCUUGCAUAUAUAGUUUCAAGCAGGAUAAUUUUUUACAGGUUUGAUGUUUGAAAGAUUUAGCCCAUGAUUAUAAAAUAAAAACACAGGCAUGCAAAUAGAAGAUGGGGGUCAGUAAAAAUAGGAAACAAUAGUAGGUGGCAAAGCAAAUUUGUUCUAAAUGCAAAUGGGGCUGUUAGGACUUAGGAAUGACCUUCCUGUUAAGGUAGUCAAGGGAGAGUUAAGAGAUACUUUUCUGGGAGAUCAAGGGAAUGGCGUUAGGUAGUUUAAAAGCGCAGGGAGCUAGUGCAUAUAACUUAGAAGAGGCUGAUAAUUUUACAAGCACUUGUAAGCUGGUGAAAUAUAUAACACAAAGUAUCGCCUUUUCAAUUCUAGUCCUCAGGGCUCCUUGUUUUUAAGCCCAUAGUAUAUAAAUAUACGUAGAAAUUAACAGAAAAGUGCAAAAUGCAUCAAACUGACACCAGAUUUAAACGCAAAACAAUUGAGAGAUUCUUUUGAUUCUCUUUAUAAUGUAAAUGUAAACCAAUGACAAUGAGGGUUGAAGAUGGCCCUUCUCAGUAAAAGAGGACUAUAAACCGCAUGGGGUAAGCCUUAACUACAAGAUUCUAAUCCUUAGCCAAACUAGUGUUGCAGAAAGUAAAGUUGCAUCUUAAAAUGUUACUUGAGCAGACAAUACAUAAUUGAUUAAGUAAUGCAAAAAGAAUACGAACCUAUCAUCUCGUCGCCGAAAUCCAAUGAAGCAGCAAGCUUUGCCAUAUCCCUCCUGGUACCAAACUCCAUGACCAGCUUCCUCAAAUACUCCUCAUCGAACCUGGACCUCAACCCAAAGCACACCACCAUCUGCAUAAACAUCACCACCUCCGCCGCACCCUUCUCCGUAUCACUAUCCAUCUGCUCCUUCCACGAAUCCAAGAGACCCACAGCUCUCUCAACAACCCUUCUAGAGAACCCCGGCGAGUCCGAACUCAGAGCCUGAACCAGAAGCCCACAUGCCCACCUCUUAUCGGUGAGCCCAGACUUAGAACCCAUCAUUUUGCUAUUGAGAAAUUCCUCCACCGCGUCCAACACCAGCUUCGGCGGGUCCACCGCCUCCGCUAUCGCCGGCGCUAUCUCCGCCCUCAGCCACGACGACUCCUUCCGCUUGGAAACAAUGAACCGCAACAACGCGGAAGAGUCCAUCUUCCGCGAAAGGGAUUUCAACGUGGCGGGCAAUUCGGAGUCCGACGGAAGGGGGUUUCGGAACUCAGCGAUAGCGGCUUCCUUCUGCUCGUCGAUACGAGCGGCAGCGGCGGACUCGCGCUCCGGGAUGGAGGUCUCGUGGGUGUUGAGCGAUUCGAGGGUUUCAUUGUAGUGGGAAUCUAGGGUUUGGAACUUGGAUUCGAGGGAUUGGGUUUUCUCGGAGAGGGAAUGUUGGAGGGAGGAGAAGUGGGUGGAGAGGGUGGUGAAUAGGUCGGUGCAGGUGGCGAUGAUGCUCUUGUGGGUUUGCAGUUCCUGGAAGAAUUGUUCGACCCUGUCAGAGGGUGGUGUUGUUGCCAAUUUGGUCGCCAUUGUUGAGUCUCCGAGAGCAACACGAAGAACCCUAAUAAUCGUUUUCAGAACAAGGAAAAUAAUGCACUUGCGAAAACUUUUACACUUGGUGCAUAAAAAUGAAACUCUAGCUAUCUCUUUUUCUCUAUAUAUAAUUUUCUGAAAACUCAUUUCUAAAUAGAGAAAGUUAUAUUGUGUGAAUCUUUAAGCUGAGUUUAUUAUGUCUAGAUAUUUGUUGACAAGUCAAAAUAAUUUUAUUUUCAAUGGCAAAGGGAGGCUCUUAUUAAAAAGUUCUUGACAAAAUAUCGGAUGAUGAAUGGGCUUAUGGGCAAGAAUACAAUUAGGAAAAUUGGCAGUCCAAACAUCAUUCUCAUGAGUAAUGAGGGUUGAGCCAAACAAUGUGCCACACAAUUGGCAUCCUUACGCGCGCCAAUUCCAUCUCUGAUAGGGGAUCGAAUGCGGCGUCUUCAAAACCUCGCCACUUGAGUCGUAUGUGGGGGAAAUCACACGUGCGGUUCUUAGGAGCGAGAGUUAGUAGGAACCAUCCGAACAAAGGAAAAGGAGAUGGAGCUAAACAAAGAAACCAUAUCAGCAAAAUAUCGUAACACUAGCCCUAGAUAAGAAUUUUGUCUCUCCUUCCCAACAAUUGUCUUAAUCACAAACUUGUAGUCAAACUCUAACAUAAUUUGUGAGAAACACAACCUCAAAAGUCAGGUUUAUCCCAACUUGAAGUGCAACGCUUCGGCAACCGUAACCCCAACACUCAUCUCCUCCUUUUUAUUAGGAGCGCUAUAAGUACCUUCACAGUUCCAAACACCGGAGCCACACCCCCAUCUACCUAAAGUGUCAGCCACAUCCAAAUUGAUCUUAUGGGAGCCUAUCGUCGGAGGGAGUCAAUGCCAUUAUCAUAUGAACACAAGCACCAGCAAACCGAGUGCAACACAAGCGGCGUGAGUUGUUAAUAUAAUACUACCAAACCUCUCAUCAAAAUUAUGAUCUACAUCAUAAGAUUAAGAAAAACCUGAAAUAGAGGAGAAUCACACAUGCUUGCUCAACCAACAUUCACGAAACACAUGAUUCAAACACUACACAACUCCAUCACUUGUAGCGAAAAACACUCUUUUAAUAAAUUAAGAAAAUAAAGUUCCCUCACACACUUAAUACACAAUUGGAUAAUGGAAUAUAAGUUUAGGUGUUAUCAGCUUAAAUUCUUCAAGUUCUUUUUUUUUUAUAACUUAAAUUCUUCAAGUUCUUGAUUCUAUAUGUUACUUCAUUUUCUCCAUCUUGCGGAAAAGAAUAAAAUAAAGCAUAAAAGUGCAUAAAAAAGCAAACCGCGUCUAAAAGGAACCGAUGGAUGAGAAAGAAAGUAAAGGCAAAAGGAAUGGAGAUACUAACAAGUAACAAUAAUGAAUAAUCAUAUCUUAAUUAAUCUCUUCAAUAAUUACAUGGAGCAUAAAAAAUAAAAGAAAAUCCAGAAAUUCCAUCGACAACUAAAAAUUAAGAGAAAAUAAUCUCAAAUAAUAAUCGUUGAAAUAGAACAGAAAAAUGAAUCAAUGGAAGAUGUAUGUGAUCGCCAGAGCCACCAGCAAGAGGAGGUAAGCAAUUCCUUGAUCCAACGCGGCGCCAUCACUGGUAGGCGCAGGAGCAGGCGCGGAAACAGGAGAAAACGCGUGAGCACCGCCGAGAUCGGAGAUGGCGAAGAGAACCAAACUGAGAAUCGCGAAAGAGAAAAACCUCACUGAUUGCAACAUUUUUCCGGGAAAAUUAAUCGAACAGAGAGAAAAUCGAUCGAGGUAUGAGAGAGGAGAGAAGUGAAAAAUUGGUAGUUACUAGUAGAAUUUGUGAAGGAUUUGAAUUUGGUGAGUGAAGCGUGGAAGAGGUGUUAUUUAUAGGUGAAGCGAAGAAGAAGAGUCUCUUGUACUGAAAGGAAAUUUUCAACUAAUGGAAGGAAGGAAGGAAGGAAAGUGUGAGUUUCCAGAAACGCCACCAACGACGACUAAACUCGGAUUCCACACGCGUUGAUUAAUAAUUUUCAAUUUUUUUUAUUUAUCUUAUAAGAUUACUAAUUAUUGUUAUUUUACCAUGAAAAGAAAAGAUAUACUGUCAUGACCAAUUAAAUACCAUUAUUAUCUACAUAUACAAUUGAAUAUUCUAUCAUUUUGUAUCAAACACACACGUUUUACAUAUGAUCACUCACUAGCCGUUGUUGACAAUAUUAUUAUCAGCAACUGAUUUUGAAGAUAAUAACUAUAAUACUUACACAAUCUAUAUUUUCACGCUUUUUGUUUUUCACAUGAGAAAGAUAAUUUGCACGAAUUAAUCACCGAACCUCCUACAUUCAACCUAUGUGUUCCCUGACUUUUAUUACUUUGGCUAUCAUUCGGAGACAUUUUUCCUUAGUUUACAUGGAGGAUUCUUUAUAAAAUUACAAAUUGAAAGUGAUUUUUUUUGAACUAUUGGAAGUAAUUAAGAUAUGCAAUCAAUUUUAUAUUUAAGUGUGUACUUAUUGGUAGGGUUGUACCACGAGUUGUUGGUUCAAGCAAAGAACUAACCAAACUUGUUGGGUUGGGUUGGUUUUUCAUUAACUACAUUACAGUUCCAAACACGAACUAAUCCAGCCUGACUAAGUUUAAAGAAUGUGAAAAUGAAGUGAGAUUAAGUGUGUUAGAUUAUGAGUAAUGAGUGUUUGAAAAUGAAGAUCAUGAAGAUGGAGAACACUUGAGUAUUUUUUUUGUUACAAAGGGAAAGAAAAUUAGAAUAACAAACUACACUACAAUUGUAUUUUAAUACAAGGAUGAGAUCACAUUAGAGGGAUGAUGCUUCCAGAUGCGAUGCAAAAAACCAUCUCUCGACGCUUGCGAGCUAACAUGUUCGUCGCAUUAUUUGCAUCUUGAGAGAUAUGAACAACCGUAACAUGCCAAUCCCAAAGAAGCAUGACUCUGAUUUUGUAGAUUGUAUCCCUCUCCCAAUUACUACUCAUGUCAACAGUAGUUGAAGAACGCCCACCACUGUCAUACAAUCUAAGGCACGUACAAUAUUUCGGAAGCCAAGGUUCCACCCAUGCUGCAUACUUGUCUUGACUACUAGCAGCUCGACGAAAUUCCCAAAAUCUAGUUGUUUGUCGCACCCUUCAUGACUGCACUGUAACCAUUCGCGCCACACUCUAGUUCAAGCUUCAUGUUAGAUAUGCAAAACAUCUUUCAAAUUACGCUUGUUUUGUUAAAAACAUACAUCUACAACCCUAGAUAUCAGUGACAUUUUACUCGAGUAAUGAUACAUUCACACUUCAUUUUCUCUCGCAUCUCAUUUCAACAUACUUUUUUUUCUAUCUCUGUAAGCGUUUUCUGUCACCUUACCUAUAAUAUCACUAAUUUCUCUCAUUUCUCUUUUCUUAUUUAUCAAGGUGGAGGUGAAAAAGUGGUGUCCUCUUAUACCUUGCACAAAAUCCAGUGGCGGUUAGCCAUCCCCUUACCUUACCCGCCUCAUUAAGGCCCCUUUCAUUUUGUUCCGGUAUGGAACUAUCGAGCAAGGGCUAACCAGUUUGAGAGCGAUAGAGAAUGAACGAAACUAGAAAAAUGCCUGAAAAAUUAGAUCCCCCACCGCUUGGGUGGUGUCUGAUAUUUAUAGAUUGAGUUUCGGUCCGCCCGGACCAUGGGUUGCGUGACCCAUAUUUACAUUAGGCUGAUAAGCCCAACUAAUCAAUAAGCCCAUAUCAGACCACAAGCCCACAAGACACCGAGUCUUAAAAGCUUUAAGACGAAGUGUGUCUUUUUUCGAGCCCACAAGUAAUCAACUCACCCAACACUACACAAAGACUAACAAGUAAUUGACACGCCCAAAAUGUGCAAAGGAAAUAAUGGGCACACAGGCUCCAAAAUCAAAAUUUAAAAGGCAUAAAAGCUAAGUAGUCAUUCCUUUGUCAUUUCAACUUUUGCUGUUACUUCUUGAUCUUUGUGUAGCGUGUGCAAGUUGACCAAAAUCACCUCUUCGCAUCAAUCACAGCCUCACUGUCAUUAUCAUGAAUAAUUUUCUCUUCCCCUAAACCAUGAUUACAACCUGCUCUCAUAAUACCACAAGUAAUAAUGCACAAUAAUUUGAAACUUGAACAAAAUAAAAGUUGAAGACUUAAAUGUAAAUCAAUAACAUGGAACACACUUACUUCAUAUCGCUUGCACAUUCAUCUAUGCUCAGUGUAGUGUAUUCUUUGUAAGAUGAACUUUCCAUCAGAAUCAUUAUGUGUUUCUUUACUUUUCAUCGGAAUUGAUCCGCCUUCAUCAUUAUUCAAGCACAUCGCUUUCUUAUUUUACUGUAUAUAGUAAAAUACUCUUGAGUGAAUCUCAAAAUUUUAUAAAGUUUAAACUUAAUCAACUACUUUUGAAUCAUAAGGCCUUCGUGUAUAUAACUUAGUCAAAUUUUCAUUUUUGACAUAGUUAUUCAUGGAAAUCAAAGUCACGAUAUUUGAUUUCAUUAGUAUGCUCGCGUGGAGACUUGUGCUUAGUUUGGACAAGCUUAAAUCCAAUUUAAGACUGUGCUUAUGAAUUCGUGGUCGAAUGCUCUUGUUUUAAGAGACUUACUCUUUUCUCAAUUGUCUGACGUCGCCCAAUUGAUAGACCUUAGUUGAUAAGUUUCCGCUAUGGGUAAAAGAAAUAAGUAAAAUGAUACGCCCUUGAUCACUUUAAAAAGGUUAUGCCUCGUUAAAACUCUCCCGCCUGGGGUAGAGAAAAGAGUGCAUACCUGUUAUUCAUUUAUAGUUGAUGCCUCGUUAAAAACUCUCCCGCCUGGGGUAGAGAAAAGAGUGCAUACAAAUAAAAUGUUACGCCCUUGAACAUUUUAUAAAAGGUUAUGCCUCGUUAAAAACUCUCCCGCCUGGGGUAGAGAAAAGAGUUCACGCUUGUUUUUUUCUCUUUUUCUGUACAUAAUGUUGUGUGCUUUGACUGGUUUUAGUCAACUCAUCACCACUUUCGAAAGUCACCGGCACAAAUGUCAUAUCUUUGCGCCUUUGGGACUUGGGCAGGGCGGUCCAAUUUGCGUCGCCCUACUCGCUUUUCACGAUUCCAGACUUCAUGUUCUUUGAUACCAACCCACUUCUUGUUCACAUGCCUCCUCCUAGGAAGUGUCUGUCAUUCUCAUCUCCUAUUUUGAGCUAGUCCAUCAAAUAGGCAGUGCACAUACAAGCCCCCCUGGUACAUGAUUGAAGAUGUCUAUCAUCAAACCAGAAUGUUCAGACUUAAACAAACUACUCCCUUCCUGACUAUUGCAUACUCAGAUCAGUUCAUGCUGACUCAUACACAUAACAACUCAUGCAUAUGCAUCCUCACAAGCAAACAAAUAACCGAUCAAUUAUUUUCUUCAUUUGUAACAUGAAUUCAAUUUUGGUACUGCAUAUGUUAAAGCAGGCAAUUCUACAACCGGAUAUCACAGACAAGAUCAAUGCAGAAAAGAAUGAGAAUGCUGAUCAGAAGUCCGAAGCAAAUCAAUUCAGACAGAACAAAGACAACAGAAAACUGUAUAAACACAAGUUAUGAUGAGGAUGAAUGGAAGAAGAUUCCUGAGUCACAUUUGCUCAACAAUUCAGAGACCUCGAAAGUACUAUUCAAAAGCCACUGCUAAGGAGUUACAAAAAUCACAAACAAAAGUUAUUAUGUUUUGAAAACUCAGCAUCCUUCUCUUUGGUUUUUUGUCAGUUCUAUUUGAAGUCCUAAAGACAUAUAUAGCAAAGUCAGCAUUGAAGUUAUAAUUUCUUGAUAGCAAGUUGAUCAAAAGGAUUUGUAAAAGAAAACAUGACACGUCAACAGUCAUAUUUAGAACAAACGAAGGUUUAUAGACCUCAAAAGUACUAUUCAAGUAUACACAUAGCAUGAUUGGAGAUCGACUAUUUAUGAAUUCAAGAAAUCCAACAUCGUGAGGGCAAGUCACGCGAGGAAAUAACCACUCAAGAUAAAAUCAAACUUUGUAUUAAAGCAAAACACUUGGUGCUGAAGCCAAAACGAACUUUAGAAAACCAAUUUCCAGCCAGAUAUUCAUGAAGCACAAAAUGCUGCAUAAUUCUCCUAUGCAGAUAACUCUAAAAAGUUAUGGAAGCAUUGUCUCAGGCAAGAAAAGCUCAUGAAUAGGACCAUCAUCUUAUGAUAAAAAGUACAGCAAACAUAAUCCAACAUUAUCAAGCCUGCUAGCAUUUCUUCUACCAUUUUCAAAAAUGGAAAGUUGAACAGUAAAGAAAGUAAAAUUACACCAAUUCAUAUCACAAUUUCAGUCAUGAUACCCCAAUUUAAAUGAUAGAUAAGAAUUCACAUAUGCAAAAUUAGCAAAUCAAUCUAGUGGAAAGGAAAUAACACUGCCCUGGUACAUGAUGACAGAAUUGACAAGCAUUAUGGCAUUUGAAGAUGCAAAGUUUGGCUGAAGCAUUUCGUCGAACAGUUGGUGUGCUCCAACUCAUAAGCUCCUUCUUCUUAAUCCGCCAUGCCCCCCUCUUUCUCGUAUCAAACACAAAGAAAAGAAUGAUGGAAUUAAUUUCAAACCAUUGAUAAUCGGAGCACAAAUCUAAUGGAAACAAAACUGAAACAGAAAGUAGAAGAAAUAUUUGGAGGAACAAGGAUCUGUUUGAAUGGUCCUGAAUCAAUUUGGUUUUAUUGAACUCAUGGGCGAACAUGGACGAUUUCGACCCAGAGUGGCGGUUGAGAAAGCAUGAGCGGUUGCAAACUCCGAAAAUAGCAGUUGAGACAAAAUGGUCGUUUAAAUUCUGGUCGUGGCGGUUGAAAUUGAGUGGGCGGUUGCAACUCAAAAGUGGCGGUUGUGCAGUUCCAAAAUGAAUGAAUUGGGAUCUGUUGAUGGUUUUGAACCAGGUCCGGCUACAGAGGUGGUUCUCCAUCUUGAUUUCCAAACCCAAAUUGUGAUCCUCCAACCUUCAAUCUACUUGACCUCUGUCAUUUGUGAAGUUUAGGAACUGCAAAAUUGAAAAAGGAUUGAAAGAGAAGGAGCAUGGACGAUGGUAAAGGCGAACCACUUUGUUCAACCCUUCCACCGCCCACAAAACGCAUCGCCCGCGAGCACCAAGGAGUUUCGCCGCCUCCGUUCACGUCCUCUUCGUCGUCGACGCCCGCGAGCACCAAGGAGUUCCGCCGUUUUCUCUUCUCUGCUCUCCUUCACGUUUCCUCUAUCUGUUUCCUAAUGUUGUUUGAGUGGCGAAGCAGAUCCAUCAAACAUGAAUGAUUUGUGUCUACCAUGAACUCCCAUUCUCAUAGUGCGUUGAGCAAAUUUUUGGUUUGAUGUAACCAUCCUUUUGAAACUGACAUUUUGACAUAAAUUGAUUGCAUCGCUUUCCCUUCAAUUUCGUUCGCCCUCCUCUCUCAGAAGUAGAAAUCACAUAGCCUCUUGUUCGUGGUAGUAGGGAUUUGUUUUACAGAAGCCCCACGGUGGGCGCCAAUGUUCCGGUAUGGAACUAUCGAGCAAGGGCUAACCAGUUUGAGAGCGAUAGAGAAUGAACGAAACUAGAAAAAUGCCUGAAAAAUUAGAUCCCCCACCGCUUGGAUGGUGUCUGAUAUUUAUAGAUUGAGUUUCGGUCCGCCCGGACCAUGGGUUGCGUGACCCAUAUUUACAUUAGGCUGAUAAGCCCAACUAAUCAAUAAGCCCAUAUCAGACCACAUUUAUAUCCAAGUGAGCAAGCACAUGCCACGUAGGAGUAACUCUUGGAUUAGAGGCACGAAACAUGCUCACGUGGCAGCAUCAGAAACAGGUGGCUACAGAGAGUUGCUCUGUUUUCUUCUUUGGCCCACACACAUACACACACUAGCUUUGUUCAAUAGUGGCUUUGGACCAAUGCAGAGUGAUAUGAUAUGUCCAAAUUCCAAUUCCAAUUCCAAUAGAAAAACGCAAACACAAACCACUCUCAAGGAAUCUAUCUACAAAUUUAUGAGCCUUUAGUUUGAGCCAAACACUCAAGAUCACUAAAGAGGAAUAAGAAAGACAGAGAAGAAAUAGAAGAAAAAAUGUGUCAAGAGUUCCUUUUGUGGCGGUGCACAGAAUUAGAUGGCAUGUGUUCAGGGGGGCAGUAGUACUACCUAUGGUGGUUGAAGGGCAAGAACUGGCGGUGACAGCAGAGGCUAGCAGCGAAGGUGGAAGCUCCGGCGAGGUGGGAUCAAUGAAGCGGUGUGUGUGCUCGCCGUCACAGCAUCCAGGGUCAUUCCGGUGCCGGCAACAUCAAGCUAAGUAUGUGUGGCGCAACAACAGAACAGAGCAAUCAAGUAGAAAAAUUGAGGUGUGAUUCAAUAUAAGCAUGUACGUAUUAAAUCAUUUUUCUUCACCCUUUUGUGUUAAAUAAGCUAAUGCAAUCAAGGAUAUUAAGGUGUGGUUGCCGAAGCCUUGCGAAUUUGCGCAUUAAUGUAGAUUGAUACGGCCGCAAUUGUGAUUGACCGGUGUGAAUAAGGUGACUCCAAAAUCUGUUAUGAUGUUGUAAUUGUGGUUAUGAACUGCAAUUUGAAACAUAAAUGCAGUAUAAUUAUAGGAAUUAUAUCACAUGAACUUUUGUCAAGUAACUCAUCUUUCAUUUGAUCGAGUGCGCAAAUUGUAUAUGCGCAAGAAUUGUUUAUCCAUUUCUUUGACAUUGUUGUUAUUUGAUUGUUUCUGUGAGGAGAGAUAAGAAUGGAAUUGAGGAAAGUAUUUGUAGAAAUCUACACAUCCAACAUGAAAAUUAAGAGUCAUUUUACAUCUAAUUAAUGAUCUGAGCUAAUUGUCUGAGUUAAGCUGUACUACAUUAAACACAUAGGUACAACAUUAAGUACAGCUCAAAUUUUAAAUGGUGAGAUGAUGAAUUAAGAUAGCCGUAAGAUGAUGAAAAUUAUAGGAAAAUUGAAGAACAAAUUAAAAAUGAGAGGUGAAGAAAACUAAAUAAAUCAUGAGCUUUAGCCUUAAAAUGGGGGAUCAUUGCAUCUUCCUGGACUUUUUUCAACCAAAGAAUAUAUAUAAAUACUGCAUAUAUUGGACUCAUUCUUCUUUCUCACGAGAAUUAGCAUAAACUUAAUUUAUAAAGCAUCCAAUCUUUACCCUUCGUUUAUAUUCUUCCCCUUUUGUUUAUUCUUGGCAAUUGGCAUAUUCACUACCACCUUUUUUUUGUUGGUCACUCCCACCACCUAAAAUGACUUAAAUUGCAACAUUGGGCUGAAUUCAAGCAAAGGCCCAAGCCUUAAGUAUCCUCACAACAGGGCUGACCCGCAUGAUGCUAGGAGAAACUCGUUAGAGUUCUUGUGCUAGUUUUUUUUUUUUUCACAAUGUAUGGCAAGCCCCAACUUCUGGGAUAGGAAACUCCCAUACAAUCCCCAUAAAGGAGGUAACUACAUCCCACAGGGGGGGGGGGGGGGGGGGGGGGUUCAGCUAAAUGGAGAGUCCCAAAACUAACAGAAUGGCCUAAGUUAGCUAAAAAAUCAGCUACAAAGUUCCCCUCUCUUCUAGUGUGAGCGAAUCUCACUUCCCAUGGUUUCUCCUUCCAGCAUCGGAUUGCUCCAACAAAAGCAGCAUAAGGGUGGUGCGGUUCACACCCUUUGUCAAUGAGAGUUAUGGCCGUGGUAGAGUCGCUUUCGAUGAUUACCUUGAAGAGCCUCUUGUCCCAAGCAAUUGGGAGAGCCGUGAGGAUACCCCAGAAUUCUGCAACUAGAACGUUGGACGACCCCAAAUUUAUGCAGAAUCCCAUCAGCCUCCUCCGCAGGCUGCUAGGCUAUUUGGGUAUAUCACCGAACCAUCAACGUUGAAUUUGGUCCAUUCUAGAGGUGGGAACUCCCAACCAAUCAAGGUGUUAGUGUAAGCCGACUGCGCAGGCCGGCCUCUGGUUUCCUUGGUUCAUGGUGCUAAGGCCGGUUUCCAUAGCUAGAUGGUUAGCCAUCGCCAAGACGUUGCUGGGGUGAAAGGUUGGUUUUGAAAAACCACAAGGUUUCUGUUUUUCCAGAUGCUCCAUAACAGGAAGCCAAAGUGUUUUAGUCCAAAUGGACGUUCCUUGGAUGUUGCUCCCUAGUUUAGAUUAUAGUUAAGUGAAAGCACAUAAUUACUCCUUUUAAGUGCAUUACUUAACCUAAUUACCUAAGACCUAAGUCAUGAUUAAUCAGGGAGUAAAUGAGAUAAAGAAAUUAUGAUUUUUUAAUAAAUGUAAUGUAACUACAGACAAGAAAGUAACAAAUUAAAUACGUAGAUAUGCAAUGCAAUAAUGCCGGUCCAACGUAAGAAGAGAUUUAACUCAUUCAGAGGUAAUGACCAAUUUCGGAAACUGUUAUAUUACUUUAGUAAUAUUUUUAAUAAAAAAUAAUUUCAAAAGCUGAAAUGAUCGAGCUAAGACAAUGACUUAAUAUUUUUAAUAAAUAUUAUUUCAAAUUUCGAAAGCUAAAUUGAUCGAGAUAUUCGAAGCGAUAGUGAUACCAACGGAUGAUUGUCGUUUUUUUCUUUCUAAGGACAAGGAUGACAAAUUGACAAUAGCCCAACUGCAAAUAUUGAAAAAGGUGAUAAAAUAUGACGUAAAAGAAACAAUGUAUAGUGGAGAUAUUUAUCCUUAAAAUAUAAUGCAGUGGAUAAGAGUGACGACUUUCUGCAUAAGCUCACACCAUGUGAUCCCUAAAUUAUCAACGAUUUUCCUUCACAAAUACUACUUGAUUUGGAUUUGAGUGCAAAGUUAGGUAAAUGAUAACCAUUAAUAAAGCCAAUUGGCGCGAAUUUCGUCCAACGGUGUUAAAAAGUUGUAUGAAUUAAUAUUUAUAUAUAUAAGCUAUAUUUUUUCAAAUGUAAAAAAAUUAUAUAUAUAUAAGAUCUAAAUCCUUUUUAUCCUACUCGACUCAGAAGAUAAUUACUUUGGUGGAUAAUAUUUGUAAUUUGUGGCUUAAACAAAAUAAAUUUCAAUUUAUUUGGGUCCAAAUGUCAAUCAACUCUAUCCUCAUCCCUAAACGUUAGCCUCACAGAAUCAUUUGUUCAACCACAAAUUAAAUAAUUAGUAUUUAAAUAUGGUGAAUUAUUGGUCGUUUUUAAGUUGUAAUUUACCUGAAGAAUUUCAUCCUAUCAAUCCAGUUGUUUUUUUUUGAGCGUAUCAAUCCAGUUGUUGUAAUUACUAAUUAGGCUGAAGAAUUUCAUCCUAUCAAAUUUUUUUUUAACAUGGUUUGAAAUAAUAUUAAGAAAUAGACAUAGAAGCCAAUAAAUCAUCAAUUUCAUCCUAUCAAUCUAGUUGUGCAGUAACUAAUAAUAAAGUGUUAAAUAAGUGGAAAAUAAACUAGGCUUACGUAAAAAUGAAAAUACAAUUUUAAAUUAUAGAAAAAACAUUUACUAAAAAGAGAUACAGAGAUUUCGUGAAUGAGUAACAACAUUUGUAAAAAGUUAACUAGUUCCUGAAUGAUAACUCAAGUGUAAGAGUUAUGAGACAUAUGAGUUUGGAUGAGAAAGUUCAGAAAUCAAUAAUCGGAAGAAACAAUUUAAAGAGAAAAGAGAUUUUUUGCUAUAUAUUAUAUUCAAGAUAUAUAUAAUACAUGAUUACAUGACAAAGUAAGCAACUUUGGGCUUUGAUUAAUAAUCCAAGCAGGAUUAAUUAAAACAUAAAAGCCUUUUAAUUUAUACAAGCUAGUUUUGAUCAUGUGAUCAUCAUCGGAGCUUAAGAAAAGGAUCGAUUAACAUACACAUGGAGCAGGGGCUCACUAUGGAGAAACAGAAACCACAUGAUGAUGCUUGUUAUUGUUAGCAGGCAUGGAUUUGGAGCGUUUCAUCCAACUUGGUGGUGAUGAUGAUGAAUUAGAAGCCCCUGAACGAUGAAAACGGCACCGGAAAGAGCCUUCAUGUGUGGUUGGAGAACAGAGGCACUGUCCUUUGGGACAAGACAUCACUGAGCCUGACACGGUGUUGCUGCCACCGCUGUCACUUUUCGGUGAUGUUGAGACGGUGAGGUUAGCAUGAUGACCCUGCUGAAAUUGAGAAGCCAUGGUGAUUGAUGAAAUUGGUGAUGGAUGAAGCUGGAAGGACUAGAAGGUUCAAUUAUAUAGAGAAGAAAAGUGCACCUUCCUAGGCCACUCUAUUGUUUGUUUGGAUUAUAAAAUACCAUAUUGUUAUCCUGAUCAACAGUGAUCCUUUGAUCACUUAUUUGUCCACUUGUGUAACUGCAUCAUAGGAUAGGGUAGGACAUCAAAAUGAAUUUAUCAUUAUUCAAUUGCUAGGACCACCAUAUUAUUUACA